AACGGCUGGAUCUCAGAAACCUAUAGACUUCACCGUGGUAUAAAACAAGGAUAUCCGUUAAGUUCUCUUAUUUUUGUAAUAGCAGUUGAAAUCUUGGCCUGUAGAGUAAGACAAGAUUCUAACAUUAAAGGAUUUCAAAUUAAACUUGAUGAAAAAACACAUAGUCUAAAAAUUUCCCAAUUAGCUGAUGAUACAACCCUCUUUCUCAGUUCUAAAAAUGAAAUUCACCAAGCAUUGAACCUAAUAGAAAUAUUUGGAACGCUUUCUGGUUUAAAACUGAAUAAAUCUAAAACAGAAGGUAUAUGGUUGGGUAGACUUAAACAUUGUAAAGAAAAAAUUGAAAAUAUACACUGGAGCAAGGAACCAAUUAAAAGUUUAGGUGUUUACUUUGGAUUAAAUAAAAGUGAAUGUGACAAAUUAAAUAUUGAAAAAACAAUGAAACAGUCAAAAAAAUUAAUACUUGAUUGGGAAAAAAGAAAUUUAACAAUGAUAGGUCGAAUAACAGUUGUUAAGUCGCUUAUUUUACCUAAUCUUACUUUUUUAGCUUCGGUUGUUUCAAUACCCCAAAUGUACAUAAAAGAUUUUAAAAAACUCAUAUACAAUUUUAUAUGGAAUAAUAAACAAGAAAAGGUAAAACGUUCAACACUUACCAAAGAUUACACAAAUGGAGGUCUAAAAAUGACAGACAUUGAUUACUUUUUGAAUGCAUUACAAAUUUCAUGGGUUAAACGAUUAACCGCAAAAGAAUUUGCUAAUUGGAAAGUCAUUCCAACAUAUUAUUUCAAUAAAUUUGGUAAAAACAACCUUAUAUUUCAUAUGAUGCCUGACAACAUAAAAUCAUUACCUAAUUUAAGUAAUAUACUACCCUCA
rnacentral:lncRNA from 1 species